UACUUGUGCUCUCCCGAUCUCAACAAUUAAAAUAUCUUAAUACCAAAAAUAUGCAACCAACUCCUAACCUAGUACUGGGUUAAUCUAUUUCAUAAUAGAAGCAAUAAUGCUAAUAUGAGUAA